ensembl:lncRNA
GCGUUGAGGGGUUUUUUGUUGUUGUUUUUUAUGCUGUCGUUGCUUUGUUUUUAAAUGUUUCCUCAUAAGGCUGUUGUAGUUCAGUUGCUCAGAGUAAGCGUAAAUAAAAUGAAUGGGUUGAAUACGUGAUUUCAUACUUUGUGCUGGGAGGACUGGGUAUCCCCAUCUAGCAAUUUAUGCACUCUCUAAAGCAGAGCUGGAUUAUUCCAAAUGAACGUAGGUAGAACUGGGAGAAAUAAGGAAGAUCCUUCUAUGAUUGGUAUUAUGCUCCUGACUUGCAACCUCAUACAGCAGUACAAUUCAUAAAAAGCACAAAGAUGAAGUGUAUAAAAUAAGAAAAAAAUAUGCAUCAGAUGAAUCUGAGAGACUGUCAGAUCCUAACAUAUACCAGCCAUUUUCAGUAAGUAAACAAAAUACAAGAGUUGUGAAUGGGAUUCUGAAAAUACAUCAGCAAUAGUUUGAUUAUUUAAUUACUUUGUAAAGGAAACAGAAUCAGUAUGUUCAAAGAUGAUUUGCAAACAAAUGAAGAAAGCCCAAGGUUCAGUGCCUGUCAACAAGUACUGAAAUGUGUCCUGCCCUAUCUGUUCAUCUGUCCUCCUCCCAGUGACCUCAGUUAAUGAAUGUCAAAAUUCUGUAGUAGGUAAGAUGAAUCUAGUCAUCUUCUUUCCCAUCUAGAUAGUCUUAUUUAGCCAUAGUGACAUGGAAAGCUUCCACGAGGUGAGGGGUCUACAAAGCAAAUAAUCUCAGAUGAUCCCUUAAGUAGUCACUGUACAGGGACACUUUCUCAGAUCAUAGAUGGCUCAGUAUUUUUAUACAAACAACUCAUGCUGUUUCUAAGUGUUCCUGCUGCUGGACACUGGAAGAAUCUCAGCAAAGGCACUGAUUUUCAGAGCUGUGAUAAGGUAACUGCAAAUGAUUUAAUGUCCAUACUGUAAGAGAAGUUAAUUUAUCACAGGAGAAUGAAUUCAGAAAAUAACUCACUUCUGCUAAUGUAAUAUCUUCUUAGAAACUUAGUUUCGUUUUUUCAUGCGGGUAACAAUCUUUAUUAAUCUCUAUCAUUUGACUGGCACACAUUCCAAUUUUUAGAUGAUUUUUCUCCAGUACUUGAAAAGUAUAUUACCUAAAAAAAAGAAUACACUCUGGAAUCUAAGUGUAAAGUAUGCAUACGUUAUGCAGUAACAUCAAGGCAGAAUUAGACUGUACUUUGAGACAAGAUAUAGUAUCUGUCGCUCCUGUGAAUCAGACUUGAUUAAAUUCCCUACAGAGACAAAGGUUCAAAAGUUCCCAGUUUAAUAAAACAUGGCAGAAAAUGUGGGAAAUAGCUGAGGAUGUGAAGCUUUUGCACUGUGAACGGAUCUAUUUCUGAAAUAUAUGCAUUUUCUCUGUACACAGCUAUUCUCCAUAAAAAUACAUUUUUCUUAAAUAAAUUCAGUGGUUGCCCUGUUCACAUAAUGCAUGUAAAACACCUUACCCUACCCUAGGUAUAGCUCUGCGUACUCGAAACAGGAACAGAAAUUUCAGUAAAGCAUGUUGCAAACUAGAAUUUUUCAGGUCUGCUGCUAAUUAAAAUAUCUUUUUUUUCUUUAGUCUGACCUAUCCUCUCUCAAUUUUUUCACAG